UACGGAGGGUGCAAGCGUUAUCCGGAUUCACUGGGUUUAAAGGGUGCGUAGGAGGGCAGGUAAGUCAGUGGUGAAAUCUCCGAGCUUAGCUUGGAAACUGCCGUUGAUACUAUCUGUCUUGAAUAUUGUGGAGGUGAGCGGAAUAUGUCAUGUAGCGGUGAAAUGCUUAGAUAUGACAUAGAACACCAAUUGCGAAGGCAGCUCUACACAAAUAUUGACUCUGAGGCACGAAAGCGUGGGGAUCAAACAGG
rnacentral:rRNA from 1 species